GCGCUCAUAGCUCAGCUGGAUAGAGCACUUGGCUACGAACUAAGGGGUCGGGAGUUCGAAUCUCUCUGAGCGAGCACCA
rnacentral:tRNA from 1 species